rnacentral:rRNA from 1 species
AUACGGAGGGUGCGAGCGUUAAUCGGAAUUACUGGGCGUAAAGCGCGCGUAGGCGGUUUGUUAAGUCGGAUGUGAAAUCCCCGGGCUCAACCUGGGACCUGCAUCCGAUACUGGCAGGCUAGAGUCUGUUAGAGGGGGGUAGAAUUCCUGGUGUAGCGGUGAAAUGCGUAGAUAUCAGGAGGAAUACCAGUGGCGAAGGCGGCCCCCUGGACUGAGACUGACGCUGAGGUGCGAAAGCGUGGGGAGCAAACAGGAUUAGAAACCCCAGUAGUCC